rnacentral:rRNA from 1 species
CAGUCGCCGCGGGAAAACGAAGGGGGCUAGCGUUGUUCGGAAUUACUGGGCGUAAAGCGCACGUAGGCGGAUAUUUAAGUCAGGGGUGAAAUCCCAGAGCUCAACUCUGGAACUGCCUUUGAUACUGGGUAUCUUGAGUAUGGAAGAGGUUAGUGGAAUUGCGAGUGUAGAGGUGAAAUUCGUAGAUAUUCGCAGGAACACCAGUGGCGAAGGCGGCUAACUGGUCCAUAACUGACGCUGAGGUGCGAAAGCGUGGGGAGCAAACAGGAUUAGAUACCCCUGUAGUCCCUGUCUCUUAUAC